CAGCCGCCACGGUAAUACAGAGGGUGCGAGCGUUAAUCGGAUUUACUGGGCGUAAAGCGUGCGUAGGCGGCUUCUUAAGUCGGAUGUGAAAUCCCUGAGCUUAACUUAGGAAUUGCAUUCGAUACUGGGAAGCUAGAGUAUGGGAGAGUAUGGUAGAAUUCCAGGUGUAGCGGUGAAAUGCGUAGAGAUCUGGAGGAAUACCGAUGGCGAAGGCAGCCAUCUGGCCUAAUACUGACGCUGAGGUACGAAAGCAUGGGGAGCAAACAGGAUUAGAUACCCCCGUAGUCCCUGUCUCUUAUAC
rnacentral:rRNA from 1 species